GAGGAAAUAUUGGUCAAUGGACGCAGGGCUGAACCAGCCAAGUCGCGUGAGGGAUGACGGUCCUAUGGAUUGUAAACCUCUUUUGUCAGGGAGCAAAGGGCGUCACGUGUGGCGUUUUGCGAGUACCUGAAGAAAAAGCAUCGGCUAACUCC
rnacentral:rRNA from 1 species